GGUUUCGGCCGGGAUUUUAUCCAGGCCGAAACCCGGAUUGCAAAACCCGGACCUAUGUGGUUUGGGUACGGAUUUAAAAUCCGGAUACCAGAUUAAACACCCGGUACCCAGUUUAAUUUUUUUUCCCCCAGCUAAAUAUCCCCCCCCUCUCUCUCUCUCUCUCGUUCAUCUAACAUUUUGAAACCCUAGCCGCCGCUUUACUCAUUCUCUCUCGCUCUCAUCAGUCGUGGGGACCUUCUCCAAUCGAAAGGUCAUCCCUCUCUCCAUCUUCUAGUAUUCUGUCGGCAGCAUACUCGAUGGAGGCCGGCCUCAUCAUCAGUCCCUCUCUCGCUCUCAUCAGUCAUGGGGAUCGACCUACCUGUUGUUGCCAAUGACACAGCUGGGCAGAAUACUCGAUGGAAGGUUACCCACAAGAUUUGCAGUGGGUCCCAAAGCAGUGGAUGCCGGUGGCUAUCGGGGAGAUCUAGCAGAUUGCUCUAUCUGGGUUUUCUUCAUCCGUGGGUAUGUUUUUUUUUUUUCUCUAUUUUUCUGUUCUCUCUUUGGUGAUUUUGAGUUUUUUUUUAAAGAGGAUGUUUGAAUGUGUGAGAAGUAUUCAGUUGUGAUGGGUUUUAGAGCUUCAGCUUGUCAAGUACUGGUUUACUGGUUUUUGUCUGCCAGGCUUAUUUUUAUUGAUUGAUGCAUUGAUAGCAUUUUGCAAA